rnacentral:rRNA from 1 species
AACGAACGCUGGUGGCAUGCCUAAUACAUGCAAGUCGAACGAGAUCUUCGGAUCUAGUGGCGCACGGGUGCGUAACGCGUGGGAAUCUGCCCUUGGGUUCGGAAUAACUUCUGGAAACGGAAGCUAAUACCGGAUGAUGACGUAAGUCCAAAGAUUUAUCGCCCAAGGAUGAGCCCGCGUAGGAUUAGCUAGUUGGUGGGGUAAAGGCCCACCAAGGCGACGAUCCUUAGCUGGUCUGAGAGGAUGAUCAGCCACACUGGGACUGAGACACGGCCCAGACUCCUACGGGAGGCAGCAGUAGGGAAUAUUGGACAAUGGGGGAAACCCUGAUCCAGCAAUGCCGCGUGAGUGAUGAAGGCCUUAGGGUUGUAAAGCUCUUUUACCCGGGAUGAUAAUGACAGUACCGGGAGAAUAAGCUCCGGCUAACUCCGUG